UUCUUCGUCUUCUGCCUCUUCUUCCCUAAGCAAGAAAAAUGGGAAUUUCUUUGAGUAAAAGGCAACAAAAUCAUCACCUCCACCAACCUCCUCCGCCACUACCGCCACCGUCUUCUUCCAUUCCUCCGCCCCUCCCUCCUCUUACACCACCUCCCCACCCAAGCUACUCCUUUCCUCCAACUACAACACCACCACCUCCCCCCUCGCAAAACCCCUAUCCUUUGCUCCCCCCGCCCCCACGCCAUAACGUGGUCCCGACUUACCCUCCACCACCACCUCCUUCAAAUUCUUAUAAUUAC
rnacentral:lncRNA from 1 species